rnacentral:lncRNA from 1 species
UCGAAAAGUGAAAUAUAUCUGAUUGUAAUAAGCCUCAGGGAGCCUGAAUAAAAUACUAAUCCAAGUGUAUCUAUGUGGCUCCCACAGAUACAUUUGAAGAAGUUCCUGUUGUUUGUCAAUUACAUUAAGUAAAGGAAUUAGCAUUAUCACAGGUCCAAACAUGGUGUUAUGAGAAUUUGCUGUUACAGUGUUACACAGGCUUAAUACGUCAAAACAGCCCAAGGUGCUGAAGGAAUUUGAAAAUGAGGUCUCAGAAUUACCAGCAGUAAUUCCUGAUAAAUUAAGAAAAAUGGGAGAGAGUUCAGAGACAAAGACAUGAGAAAAGAUUGCCGUAACUCUCCAGAAGGAUGGAUUCUGGGUAAUGAAGGCCAGUAUGUUUAACACUGAUUCCCAGAAAAAGACUUUAAAUAUAUUCAGUAGCAGGUAGUUUAAGAACAUUAGAAGAUAAUUCGGUGAUUACCAGAUGUCAAUGAGGGCUAGGUAGGUCAUUUCAAAGCCUUCUCAAAUUUCAUUUUUUCUUUAUGAUCACCUGUCACAGUGCUUUACGUGAUGUACAUACAAAAAUGUUUGCGUAACUGUAUAAAACAGUUGAAUAAUAACUGUAUAGCAUAUUGCUUAUAUAAACUGCACAAAUCUCAUUUGAAUAAAAACCAUUUAUAAAGUACUUACAGUAUGCAAAAUAUGUUGGGCAAAGGGCAGGUCUGAGAGGCACACAUGAG